rfam:Oryza sativa Japonica Group DNA, chromosome 3, cultivar: Nipponbare, complete sequence.
AAAAAGACAAAUCUCGGGUUUUCAUGUCCAAUGUUUAACUGUUCGUCUUAUAUAACUUUUUUUUAUAAUUAGUAUUUUUAUUGUUGUUAGAUGAUAAAACAUGAAUAAUACUUUAUGCGUGACUUAUCUUUUUAAUUUUUUUUAAAUAUGACGGACGGUCAAACGUUAGACAUGGAAACCUAUGGUUUACCUUUUU